rnacentral:rRNA from 1 species
ACUACGGGAGGCAGCAGUGGGGGAUAUUGCACAAUGGGGGAAACCCUGAUGCAGCGACGCCGCGUGUGGGAAGACGGUCCUCUGGAUUGUAAACCACUGUCCCCAGGGACGAAGAUGACGGUACCUGGGGAGGAAGCUCCGGCUAACUACGUGCCAGCAGCCGCGGUAAUACGUAGGGAGCGAGCGUUGUCCGGAAUUACUGGGUGUAAAGGGAGCGUAGGCGGGACUGCAAGUUGGGUGUCAAAUCUACCGGCUCAACCGGUAGCCGCACUCAAAACUGCAGUUCUUGAGUGAAGUAGAGGCAGGCGGAAUUCCGAGUGUAGCGGUGAAAUGCGUAGAUAUUAGGAGGAACACCAGUGGCGAAGGCGGCCUGCUGGUCUUUUACUGACGCUGAGGCUCGAAAGUGUGGGGAGCAAACAGGAUUAGAUACCCCUGUAGUC